rnacentral:lncRNA from 1 species
UUUUUUUUGUUGUUCAACAUCAUAGUCAUCCCAGUUUUCAUUGAUGUGCUUGUCCUUGCCUUCCUAGUGGUCCCCCUGGGGUGCCAGUGGUGCACCCCUACACCAUUCUACAGAGAAUGUGUCCACAUCCCAGGAAUCCAAGUCUCCCAUGAGCAUGCAGGAGGGGAGAGUUAGCUCGGCAGAGGCUUUGCUGAGGAUGCUGCAGCUUAGAGACCUCUGGGCUCAGGUUGGAGGAAAAGUGAUUGCAGCAGGAAGAAAGCCGUGCAGCUGGCAGCAAGCAGAUGUAACAAUAUUUUCCUCACUUCCUGGAAAUGGCUCUCUGCUCUAGCAUUUCAGCAUUAUCCAGGAGGUAAGAUUUCAUAAUUGGAGAGCACUAGAUAUAUUCCCAAUCUGUUAAUCGUGGUUAGAGACCAGAAUCCUCUAAAUUCAUCUUUUAAACUGAUGGCAGAAAACAGGUGUUGUACUCAGGCCACAAAGUAUGGUCUUUGACUAGUCAUCUCAGGAAAUUGACAAAAUCAAUCCUCUGACCGAGAUGUCAAGCUAUAUAUCUUCUCAAGUUUACAGCUGCACAAACUCAAUGGAUUUUUAGUGUAUUGUGUCCAAUGUUUUAUAUUUAUCAGGCUUAAUCUGAAAGGCAACAUUACCCACCAGCCACUGUUUCAGAAGUCAUUCCCAAGUCUAGUAUAAACUUAAACAUAAAUGCAAGCAAUAAGAGCAUGCUUUAAGUCAGUAAAAAUAUCAAAAGGGCUUGUGAAACUGAAGCACUAUUGGGAUGUUUUGUGGAUAGGGCUUUUUUUUUUUUCUUCUCGUUUUCUGCAGAUAUCUUAAAGUGAUGGUUAAGUCAGAGCACUGUGAAGAGUAUUUGCGUGGCGACUCUUCCGAAGUGUUAAAAUCUAUGGUGGGAGAAAUCAAGCAGGAGGUAAGUUGAGGAUUGGAUUAAGUGGCCUUGUGCUGUUGGACCCAUCUUGUUAUAAUGACAAGGUCAGCAGUCCCUGGAGGACAUGUCACUCCCUGACCAUGCAUAGGCAUGUAUUCAUACAUGUAUGCACACACACACACACACACACUCACUC